rnacentral:tRNA from 1 species
GACAGUGUGGUAUAGUGGUUUGAGUGUUGGACUAUGACUCUGGAGACCAGCGUUCAAUUCCCAGUUCAGACA